UUUCUGUUUGAGAGCUACUUAAGCCUAAGUAUGUUUGGCUAGCUUCCUAUGUAAAACACUCUCAGUAUUUUUUUCUUACUAUUUCAGUAUCAAGGCCAAGAACAAGUGGUUGCACCAAACAUAUUUUCUAUUAACGACAUUUCAGUCUUCCUCUAUAGUGAUAAAAUACCUAAAUAGUCACUGGGAUAAAGAUUGAGAAAGUGAGAAUCAGUCCAGGCUGAUGCUUUUUGGAAAGAAGAAGCCUCUGUUCCUAAACAUAAUGAAUAUUCAACUAUUUAUACAAGACAGAAGAGAUUAGAUGGGAGAUGAAGGAGAUGGGAGAUGAAGGAGACUUUCUCCCUUGGUUUCCCAAUGUGUUUUUAACCUGUUGGGCCACCUGAGAAGUGAGAGUUAGAGUUCAAACACUAGAGUAUGAAAAUUCAGUUUGAGUACUCUUACUUCUAAGCUGUUGAUAAAAAAGGAGUGUAAAAUUUCUUUUCAUCCUCUUCUGGCUGCUUUGUGAAUACGGCCUUAUAUUUUUUUCUAAAUUACUCAGAAAACCUGAAAAGAAACAUAGUGUUUUGUAUCUGAAUGAGUUGACUGUUUCACUUUACUUAUAUUUGUUUAAUUGUGGGGGGAAAUAGCAGUGAAAUGAUUUGUUUCUUUUGGCAAAAGAUUUAUAAAUAAAAGCAGUUUAUUUCCCUCA
rnacentral:lncRNA from 1 species